CCUACGGGUGGCAGCAGUGGGGAAUAUUGGGCAAUGGGCGCAAGCCUGACCCAGCAACGCCGCGUGAAGGAAGAAGGCCCUCGGGUUGUAAACCUCUUUUAUCAGGGACGAAGCAAGUGACGGUACCAGAUGAAGAAGCCACGGCCAACUACGUGCCAGCAGCCGCGGUAAUACGUAGGUGGCAAGCGUUAUCCGGAUUUACUGGGUGUAAAGGGCGUGUAGGCGGGAAAGCAAGUCAGAUGUGAAAACCAUGGGCUCAACCUGUGGCCUGCAUUUGAAACUGUUUUUCUUGAGUGCAGGAGAGGCAGGCGGAAUUCCUGGUGUAGCGGUGAAAUGCGUAGAUAUUAGGAGGAACACCGGUGGCGAAGGCGGUCUGCUGGACAGCAACUGACGCUGAGGCGCGAAAGCGUGGGGAGCAAACAGGAUUAGAUACCCGUGUAGUC
rnacentral:rRNA from 1 species